AUGGCAUGUUUCAGACUUCCCAAAGCUUUAUGUGAGAACAUCAUAUCCAUCAUUAGGCAGUUCUGGUGGGGUAGUAAGCAGGGACGAAGGAAACCAGACUGGGUGUCUUGGGAUAUUAUGACUAGGCCGAAGCACAUGGGAGGCCUAGGGUUUAGAGGUCUUGAGGUCUUCAAUUUAGCACUCCUGGCCAGACAAGCAUGGAGGCUUUUGAAUAGCCCUGAAUCACUCAGCUCACGGAUCCUAAAAUCGGUCUACUAUCCAGACUGUGAUCUUUUACAUGUGGAUUUGGGUUCUCAUCCAUCACAAAUUCGGCGUGCUAUCCUGGAUGGUAGAGACAUCAUGCAACAAGGAGUGGUACGGAGAAUAGGUACAUGA
rnacentral:rRNA from 1 species